UCCGCAGUAGCUCAUCCGGUACAUUUCUCGUCCAGGACGUGGAUACGAGACGAUCCGGGUUCGAAUCCCAGCUGCGGAA